CACGGGGUUGCGAGCGUUGUCCGGAAUUACUAGGCGUAGAGGGCAGGCAGGCGGAUCCAUAAGUUUAUCGUUUAAGGCGUCGGCUUAACCGGCGUAGGGCGGUAGAUACUGUGGAUCUGGAAUGCGGUUGGGGAAGACAGAAUUCCUGGUGUAGCGGUGGAAUGCGCAGAGAUCAGGAGGAAUACCGAAGGCGAAGGCAGUCUUCCAAGCCGUUAUUGACGCUCAACUGCGAAGGUGUGGGUAUCAAACAGGAUUAGAUAUCCCCGUAGUCCCU
rnacentral:rRNA from 1 species